UGACCGAUAGUGAACCAGUACCGUGAGGGAAAGGCGAAAAGAACCCCGGCGAGGGGAGUGAAAUAGAACCUGAAACCGUGUACGUACAAGCAGUGGGAGCCCCACCACUAAGCCAGUGGUGAGUCAUCACAGCGUCAUCCUUACUUGAUGGCGGUUGGCGGAACGUCCUUUGUGACGCCCAACCCAAAAAAUCAAGCAAAGGGGGCUUAGUGGUGGGGUGACUGCGUACCUUUUGUAUAAUGGGUCAGCGACUUAUAUUCUGUAGCAAGGUUAACCGAAUAGGGGAGCCGUAGGGAAACCGAGUCUUAACUGGGCG
rnacentral:rRNA from 1 species